UACGUAGGGGGCAAGCGUUAUCCGGAUUUACUGGGUGUAAAGGGAGCGUAGACGGCGGCGCAAGCCAGAUGUGAAAGCCCGGGGCUCAACCCCGGGACUGCAUUUGGAACUGUGCUGCUAGAGUGUCGGAGAGGCAGGCGGAAUUCCUAGUGUAGCGGUGAAAUGCGUAGAUAUUAGGAGGAACACCAGUGGCGAAGGCGGCCUGCUGGACGAUGACUGACGUUGAGGCUCGAAAGCGUGGGUAUCGAACAGG
rnacentral:rRNA from 1 species